GGACCAACCCUCUACCCCGGGGGGAGAUCUGGUGCUGUAGGAAUAUUGUCCUUUCUCUCUCUUUCAAACAGUUAGUGUAUAUAUUACUGGUCAUGUGCUGCACAUUGUACAUAUAUUUCCUUGGGCUGGUUACUGGUAUCUAAAUGAAAAUUAUAGUAAUUAUGUCAUAGCUCUUCAUGCAUAGUAGCCGUAUCAGUUGUAGAAGUGUAUUUGAUAUUUCAGAAAAAAAAGAACAAGAAAAAAAACAACCUCUGAAACUUUAAACUGAAGGGUCUACAAAAUGGAGAAUCAGCUGUAACAGGAUUUCCUGGAAAAGCACGAACUGUGUGACUCAGUCCUUGAAUGUCUAUAGAUGUUUACAUGAUUCACUGGUGAGGAAAGAAGGACCUUCAUUUCUCCCCUUACUAAUUUUGGACAAAGUGAGCAUCCCAGCUUUGACUCCUCAUGCAACCAUGAAAAGAAGAAUUUUUAGUGAAGAAUGGUGGGUUUGUUUUAUUACAGAAAACAGAAGGUCACUGCAGAUAGUUGAAGUGACGGUUCCUGCUUUGUGGUGCUUAAGGGCCACCUUCGAUCGCUGAUCAUGUCUCAGUUGAAGAAAGGAGGAGGAUUAAAUUGUGAAAAAUGCACACCAGUGUCUUCAGCAGGCAUGCUCAGGGUGGGCUAACAUUCAGUUGUCAAAGCCAAUAUAUAUUUAAUAAAUCCUUUGCAACUUAGUGAUUGUUAUCCUUA
rnacentral:lncRNA from 1 species